AGUGAACGCUGGCGGUAGGCCUAACACAUGCAAGUCGAACGGCAGCACAGUAAGAGCUUGCUCUUACGGGUGGCGAGUGGCGGACGGGUGAGGAAUACAUCGGAAUCUACUUUUUCGUGGGGGAUAACGUAGGGAAACUUAUGCUAAUACCGCAUACGACCUACGGGUGAAAGCAGGGGAUCUUCGGACCUUGCGCGAUUGAAUGAGCCGAUGUCGGAUUAGCUAGUUGGCGGGGUAAAGGCCCACCAAGGCGACGAUCCGUAGCUGGUCUGAGAGGAUGGUCAGCCACACUGGAACUGAGACACGGUCCAGACUCCUACGGGAGGCAGCAGUGGGGAAUAUUAGACAAUGGGCGCAAGCCUGAUCCAGCCAUACCGCGUGGGUGAAGAAGGCCUUCGGGUUGUAAAGCCCUUUUGUUGGGAAAGAAAAGCAGCAGGUUAAUACCCCGCUGUUCUGACGGUACCCAAAGAAUAAGCACCGGCUAACUUCGUG
rnacentral:rRNA from 1 species